rnacentral:rRNA from 1 species
CAACCUGCCCACCACUUGGGGAUAACCUUGCGAAGGUAAGACUAAUACCCAAUGAUAUCUCUAGAAGACAUCUGAAAGAGAUUAAAGAUUUAUCGGUGAUGGAUGGGGAUGCGUCUGAUUAGCUUGUUGGCGGGGUAACGGCCCACCAAGGCAACGAUCAGUAGGGGUUCUGAGAGGAAGGUCCCCCACAUUGGAACUGAGACACGGUCCAAACUCCUACGGGAGGCAGCAGUGAGGAAUAUUGGUCAAUGGACGAGAGUCUGAACCAGCCAAGUAGCGUGCAGGAAGACGGCCCUAUGGGUUGUAAACUGCUUUUAUAAGGGAAUAAAGUGAGUCUCGUGAGACUUUUUGCAUGUACCUUAUGAAUAAGGACCGGCUAAUUCCGUGCCAGCAGCCGCGGUAAUACGGAAGGUCCGGGCGUUAUCCGGAUUUAUUGGGUUUAAAGGGAGCGUAGGCCGGAGAUUAAGCGUGUUGUGAAAUGUAGAUGCUCAACAUCUGAACUGCAGCGCGAACUGGUUUCCUUGGGUACGCACAAAGUGGGCGGAAUUCGUGGUGUAGCGGUGAAAUGCUUAGAUAUCACGAAGAACUCCGAUUG